CUGGAUCUCACCGGGCGGUUGGCGCCGUUAGUCUCGCGGAGUCGAGCCUGUCGGUGUUCCUUGUUCUGAACGCCCGCCCUAUCGCCAUACAGUGGAUAAACCGCUCUCUGGUUAGGGUGGGACAGACUGCAAGGAGGCCCCGCCUGGCCCGGCCUCCGGGUAGAGGGCACUGCUCAGGGCGCAGCCACGGCAGCAAGCCAGUGAGGAAACUGCUAGGACCCCCAGGCGAGGAUGUAGGCAGGUGGAGAACGAGCCGGUUCAUCCAUGAAACUGUCCCAAGGGCUUACCGAGCCUGUGCACUUCUAAAUUGCACAGCGAACCCGAGGUGGAGACUUGGGGAGAGUACCAUACAAGCUGCCAGGAGGCUGGGCCCUGGCGCCUGCUCUGGAGUCUAGCUUCCUUCUGAAAUACCCAGGAAGGGCUGCGAAGGAUAAAUGGUUCUCCACUUUUGUCUGAAUUGUUCAAGGCCACGGAGCAACUCGUUAGAAUCGGAGCCACAGUCAGGAGAUCCAUCUACACCUCAGCUGCUGUAUGGGUGAAACCUCUUUUCUUGUCGUCGUCUUGCCUACAGUUCUUUUUCUCUCCUAGGAUGGUUGUGGCACCUUGGAGACAGACCCAGGAGCCAAAGUCAUAGAACAGGCCAGGGUCUGGCCACCUGUGGACCUCCUGUCCAUGCCCAUAACCAAAGACCACCAGGAACAAAGUUGGAUUUGCUGAUUUGUUGCCGACGACGUACGGGUGUAGCCGAGGAGUCCUGGGGCGUCUCAGUACGAAGGUGUCACAAGGGACUUAUAACAGAACUUGUGUUAAAAACCGUAGGGGGGGGUGGAGUUUCAAGGAAGCGGGGGUUCAUUCUGGACUGCAUGCUUUCAGGAAGCACGAUCCAUUCUGUGAUUGAGCAUCUCAAUUUUCAUAGAGAAGCUGAGACAAAGGCAGAGCUAAAACUGCGGUUGGUAACCAGACAGCCAUCGCUGGGGGGCGGGGGAUGUUGGGUGGUUUUUGUGGUUCGCACAGUGGCCUUCAUUUUGUCUGUGCUUGGACACAAGCGUGGAAUAGUCCUGUUUGGUCAGGCCUUGUCUGAUGGUGGCUAUCCAAGAGACUGGCUCUGUUCAGGCCUAGCUGUGAGCACCUGGCUGAUCAGAGCUAGCUGCCAGGGACUACUUUUCUCUUUCUCACCGCGAAGGCAAAGCCUUGACCUUCAAGGGCCAGCCUUCUGUCCAUCCUAGUCUCAUAUCUUCAUGUUGGGGUAAGGAUCAUCACACUGGAAAAGGAAGAGGGAUGGACAAGAACAGGGAGGGGGAGUUUCCUGGGGGUGGGGGUGAAAUAGCAGCCUAGCUUAGGGUGUUCAUGGCUCUGUGACUUGAACGGAUCCAGGGUUCCCUUCCUCUAUUGGAGGAAGCUCUGAUAAAGAGGUGGGGGGAGGGCAGUAAAUGGCCAUUCUUAGUACAGAUAAUCCUCACUUAGAAACACGAUCCAUUCUCUUAGGAAACCUAGGUGGAGUGAUCAUACGUCCCAAUUUUCUGGUACAUUCCUGCUCUCAAGUGUUACAACUACUCGAUUACUGUGGAUAUAGUUUUGCUACAUAUUUUAUAGAAUUCAGAUUUUUUAGUGAAGGGAAUCCAUUACUUGUCUGACCCUAUGAGGAGCAGACAGCAAAAUGGAAUUCGAAGUGCAAGAGAUUUAUUAGGGGGAACACCUGUGAGGGAUCAAGGGUUUGAGGGAGCAGGAGCCGGCAGGGGGAGCCCUCUGCAGUUCGGCGCGGGGUGGGGGGGUGGGGGGGAGGGGACGCUUGUGCGGGCUGACCCGGGAGAGAGGGACUGGGUAGGGAGAACCACGGGCGCAGUGCACUUCUGAGAAAAUCUUGGCCAAGCCGCUGGGGACUCCCUAUGUUUACCUGCCUCAUCAGAGGAUUCCCCUUAUUUAGCGGGACAGUGUGGCCUCGAUGCCCCUGUCCUGCUCAGUCAUUGGCCAGAGGCAGCGAGGGAAAGACUGGCCUCCUGUCCCUGGGGGGCAGCAGCCGAGGCUGGGGCUCUCUUGUAGACAUCUGGGCCACCCCCCCCCCCCGGGAGGCCAUACAUUUCUUCAGUGGACAGUUCGCUUAUUUUGAGCCAUUGAACCAGUUUAAGUGCCCCCAGAAGCGGGCACCAGGAUGGGAUUAGACAUGCAAGAGAUUUAUUGAGGGGAAUGGCCGGCAGGAUGAAGGGGGGAAAGAGAAGAGGGAAAAAAACCCACAAAACCCUACACAAAUGUGAUACAACCUGUGUACUACUGGUGAAGAAAUAAAUUCACAGAAGAGGGUUGUUU